rnacentral:lncRNA from 1 species
CUGGGGGGCUUCUGGCUCUUCUAACUACCCCUCUCCCUCUGCAUUCAGGAGUUACCAGCUGCCCAGACAGACUGUGAAUUCUCCCUGGCCAGGUUCUUCCACCACAUUGCUCCGCUGGGGCUCUUCAGUUCCCUGGCCCGGCUCCUCCACAAACUCUCGGCCUGGGGCGGCCCGUCUGUCCCUGUGGAGAACAUUGGCAGCCUGGACGAUUGCGCCCCUUCCCUUGACAGGCCUGUGCGGCACGCCAAGAAGCGUCUCGGCAGACUGGCACACUUCCUGUUCGCCAUCAUCCCCGCCAGGUUCCAGCAUGCCCUCGGCUACCUGCCGGCAGACUGCAUGGGUCAGAGCAGGAUCCCUGAGGAGAUCCAAAAAAGUCCCGUCAAGCCCUCGGGCAAAGGGAGCAAAAGGAAACAAGAUGAUGUUGCUCUGGAGGAGCAGCAGUCCUGGGUGGAGAUCUUGCAGCAAGAGCUACCGGAAGAGGAUGAGGCCGAAGACUCUACCUAUGAGGUAUGACGCACUGGCUGUUUGGCAGAGCUAGUCCCUGCAUGCUGUGUU